rnacentral:tRNA from 1 species
GGGGAUAUAACUCAUUGGUAGAGCACUUGCCUGGCAUAUGCAAGGCCCUGGGUUCAAUUCUUAGUAUCACCA